AGGGUCGCGGCGGGGAGCGUUGAAGGUGCCGGGCGUGAGCCCGCCUGGAGCCCCCGUCGGUGCAGAUCUUGGUGGUAGUAGCAAAUACUCAAGUGAGAACCUUGAGGACUGAAGUUGGAGAAGGGUUCCAUGUGAACAGCAGUUGAACAUGGGUCAGUCGGUCCUAAGGGAUCGGAGAAAUCCGUUCCGAAGCGGGACCUUACCGAGCGUUCGAGUCCCGCUGCAGACCGAAAGGGAAUGGGGUCAAUAUUCCCCAACCCGGACACGGAGAUCGGGCCUUCGGGCCCAAGUGCGGCGACGCAACCGAACUCGGAGAAGUCGACGGAGGACCCGGGGAAGAGUUGUCUUUUCUUUGUAAGAGUUCGUGUCCCUGGAAUCGGCUCGUCCGGAGAUAGGGACGCUGUUCUCGUAAAAGCACCGCGGCUCUUGCGGUGUCCGGUCCGCCUCUGUCGGCCCUUGCAAAUCCGAGGGAGAUGGUGUGAUUUUCGUGCCGGACCGUACCCAUAUCCGCAGCAGGUCUCCAAGGU
rnacentral:rRNA from 1 species